AGCCGCUGGCCUCUGCUUUAGAGCGCUUUUGCUUUCCGAAUACAGCCUUCAUAAGGGCAAGAGCUUCCACCCAUUUUGUUCACUGCUGCGGUCCUGAUGCCUGGGACAGCCCUGCUGAGAGAUGAGGAAAGAUCACUCCUGGCACCUGACCUCUGAGAGCUGGUGCGCUGGGAAGCAGAUGUGGAGAAGACGGUUUGUGUGAAAUGAGUGUCCUGAGAAGUGACCCUGGUGUCUUCGCCUGUAAAGGAAGAGCAGACAUAACCCGAGGAGAAGCUGAUUGCGGUGGUGGCUGCAGCAAGGCCUCAGUCCAUCCCACUGGGGUCUGAGUGGGAGGGCCUUGCAGACUCGUCCUGCCACCAGGGAGGCCCUGGCCCUCUCUCCUCCCUUCAUGGACCAGUCAUGGGGUGCUGUGAACUUGGGCAGGCGGCUCCCUUCACCCAGGCCAGUUCCCGGCCAGGGGCUCAGCAGAGAGCCUGGAGCCACCAACGUUCCCAGCAGCUGAGGGAUGCUGAGGGGGACCUGGGCACCACUGCGGCCACCGCUGUCCCCUUUAAAUGCCUCUUGACCUAUCUGCCCCUUCUUGAGCAUUGCCUCUCCCCAGGCUCCAUUCUCAGGCCUUUUCUUCGUUGACUCCCAUUUCUUUGGGGGGAGCAGGGAGCAUGACCCGUGCUCCCCGGCCUUAACCAGCCCUGAGCCUGGGCCCCAGGGUUUCCUGUCUCUCCAGCAUCGCCAGUUUACGCUUCUCUUUGCCCCGCCCCUUGGGACGGCCCACCUCUUGCAUCCUUUGAUCCACCCCCACCCCCCCCACUGCUCCUACACGCGGCCCUCACUGCCUCCCUCCCGGGCUUGCUGUCCACUCAGGCCCCCGGCUCCCGGCAUGGGCGUCACAGCCCUUCGGGAGUGGAAGGGGUCACUUUACAUGCAUGUUUCCUCCCUCCUGUCUCUGUUUCCAGUGUUGCUCUCUCCUGCGUCCCCCAAAGCCAGCCCCUCCGCCUCGCCACUGCUGCUGGGGACACUUCCUCAAUCACAGAUUGUUAUUCACAUAGGAACAGUUGCUGGACGCUUGCCACGGCCUGCCCACAUCACAUUCUGGGCCAGUCAUGGUGAAUCCUGGCCUCACUCAGUGGGUUAGGGAUCCCAGCUUGCCGUUGCUGUGGUGCAGGCCGGCAGCUGCAGCUCCAAUUCAACCUCCAACCUGGGAACUUCCAUAUGCUGCGGGUGCAGACCUAAAAAGAAAAAGAAAACAAAAGCAAGAAAAAGUCUCUGCUUUCAGUGGCGUUUACAUUUUAGUAGGAGACACAGGAAACUAAAGAAAUGACUGAAUGAGCUGAUGGGUAAAUCAGUAUUAGAGAGUGAUAAAUGCUGUGCCAAGAAUUAGAAUAAGGAGUUCCCGUCGUGGCUCAGCAGAAAUGAAUCUGACUAGUAUCCAUGAGGAUGUGGGUUCGAUCCCUGGGCCCGCUCAGCAGGUUAAGGAUCCAGGGUUGCUGUGAGCUGUGGUGUAGGUCGAAGAUGCGGCUCCGAUCUGGCGUUGCUGUGGCUGUGGUGUAGGCUGGCAGCUACAGCUUAGAUUCCACCACUAGCCUGGGAACCUCCAUAUGCCCUGGGUAUGGCCCUAAAAAGACAAAAGUAAAAAACAAAACCCCCAAGAUUUAGAAUACUGUGGCCGAGUGUGGCAGGAUCAGCAAAGGUCUCACGUUGUCUUCUGGGCAGGGGGCAGACUCUAGUGUGGCACAAAAGGCUCUGGUGGAGACAAGCUCUGGCCCCCUGGCGAGGACUGACAGCUUCCUCCUGCCCCUUGCACUCGGUCAGUUGGGGGUAACCCUUCCUGGAGGGCCAAGGGGCCACCUGGGUUCCCCUUCUCCCCCGCCUUCCUUCCCUUAUCCUCCCAGUCCCCCCUGUGCUGGAACAAUGUCCCUUAUGGGUGACAGCGACAAAAGCCCAGCUGGCCUCAGCAGGUUUAUUCUUAUCAGUGACUAGACCCAGACAAUUAACAAUCCCUUUCAACGGCCCUCUUGGCCAUGAUUUUUGGGAAAUGCUGACUAGGACAUGACUUGGGGAAGAGAGAUUAUUUUAAAAAAAGAAAGAAAAGAAAACAGGUGCAGUGCUCUUUCCUACUGAGCCUGUCACCGGGGUUAGAUUUGCAGCCUCCACCCUUAACCGUUGUCCCCUGCCUGCCCAGGAGCCGCCCCUCCCCCAAUUCCACCUCCCUGAGGUUUUGGAAGGAAAACUAAACAAUGGCUAAAUGAAACCAAGCCCGUUAUCAACGGGUUCCACGUCACGGCUGAUAAUUCCUCGAAAAUCCCGGUUCUCAUCAAGAAUCUCCGACUUCAUUUCCCUGCACUUGUCGCCGGUGGGCGCAGAUGAAAGUGGGAGAGAAACGCAAGGCCCAGGGCGCCUUGCUUUGGCAGCCAGCCCCUCGGCCUUUGCUUAUGUACCGGGCACCUGAUCAUCAAGCCAAAGACACGGGUGGCUGGUUUCCUAAACGCCCCAGAUGCACCCGGAGCUCCUCCCCUCCGGGGGCCGCCUCUUUGCCCCUUUAUCUGGGCACCGCCUUCCUGCACCCACCCACCACCUCCUUCGCAGACUGGCCGCGCCUUCGCUUGGCUCCCCCUAGCGGCGGGCGCCGUCCAUCACCCGUGGGAACACGGGUCCCGCACCUCCCGCGCCGGCUCCAAGGCAGACGGAAAAGACAUUAAAACCGGAGAAAGCCGAGCAUCGAUCCCUCAGCGGAGAUCCAGCUUUUAUUUUCACCACAACCGACGGUCCCGUCAGACCUUGUGUGAGGUUUUUUUUUUUCUUUCCUGUCUGAUUACACACAAAAAAAUCACAACCAUGUAAACCAAAAUUUGUAACUUAUAUAAUCAAGACUUUUAGGUGUGAUUCUUUAUUACACGUAAAAAUAAAAUCG
rnacentral:lncRNA from 1 species